GCGCAGGCGCGGGGCUGCCGCCGCUGUAGGAGGCGCGAGCAGCCUGGCUUACCCGGGCGUGUGGAGUUGCCGCGGUACCGUACUAUUCCUCAUUGCAAAAUCUUUAUGACACUUAAGAAAAGAAUCACCAGCCUGGGCAACCUGGGGAGGCCCCGUCUCUACAAAAAAAUUAAAAAAUUAGCCGAGUGUGGUGGCGCGCGGCCGUGGUCCCAGCUACUCUGGAGGCUGAGGCCCAGGAGUUCGAGGCCGCAGUGAGCUAUGAACGUGCCACUGCACUCCAGCCUGGGCCACAGAGCAAGACCCCGUUUCAAAUAAAAGAAAAGAAGUUACCGAAAUACAGAUGUGCAAUUUUUAUUCCUUAGCCUAGUCUCAUCUCUGCUGCAUGUGACUGUUGUUCACAUAUUAAUUCCACCACAAUUUAAGUUCCUCCUGUGUGCCAGGGAAGCGCCCUUAACAGAAGCUGGGGAAACAACCAGGAACAAGACAGAUGCUGUGCCUGCCCUCAUGGGGAUUACUUUCUAGUUGAGAAAGGAGAUACUAAAUGGAGAAGGAAAAUAAGCUGCUGAGAAAUUAAAGGAAGACAGGUGACCUUUUGAUUUGAGAUGUCAAGAAAGUGCCCUCUGAAGAGGUUCGGUAAACUGAGAGGAAGCCGGCUCUGGAGAUACAAGGAAAGAACAGCCAACAGAAGGAUCUACAUGUGAGCAAGCAACAAGGAAGGAGCAGAAUGUGGUGCCUUGAAGAAAAGGAGAAAGUGGGUCAUGGGAAGCACGGAGGAUGAGAUCAACGAGGCCAGGAGAGUCCCCAUCAUGCACAGACUCUCUGGGGCCCUGUGAGGGAUACGGAGUUUAUUCCAAGUGUAAUGGGAAACUAGUGAAGAGUUUUCAACACGUGAGUGACAGGAUCUCGUUUCGUAGCAUCAUCGCCCUGCUUGCUGCUGUGUAUACAUGGAACUUUUGAGAAACAAUUUAAAAGGAUGCAGAGAGAAGAGUUGCUUUUGCAAUGAGCAGGUUCUCUUCCCUGCUGAGUUGUGAAGAAGGCACCUGCUUCCUCUUACACCGUGAUUGUUAAGUUUCCUGAGGCCUCCCCAGCCUUGCAGAACUAGGCCUAAUUUUCUACUCUGGGACCUGUCGUCUGUGUCGGUAACUCCUGUCUGCAUCCCGGAUGUGCUGUGUGGUUCCCAGGUGCUCCAUCUACAUUGUGGACUGCACUAGAAUUAAAUGGACUCACUUCAAUGGAAAAAGUCAAAUGGCAGAUUUGAAGAGUCGGAGUUGGGAUUUAAAGAGACUGUAAAUUCUGCAGUCCAAAGGCACCCAGGAUUUUUUAGUUUCUUGUUUUUGCUUGUUAUUGCUUAAUCUUUUUGGAACAAGUAGGAUUAUUUUCUAACCUGUCGUCAGAGUUGGGGUGGGUGUUCCUGUCACACAGGGAGGAGCAGGACCAGUCCUCAGGCUCAGCAUUGGCACGUAAUUUGGGUUUUUAUCUCUGAGGUGAUUGAGGCGUGGACCUAGUUGGAAGGCUGGUGAUUGACUGAGACAGUCUCUCGAGGCCUUUGCAACCCUGUAGGGUUUUGUUUUUUGUUUUUGAAAGGGAGUUUCGCUCUUGUCGCCCAGGCUGGCAUCUAAUGACGCGAUCUCGGCUCACUGUCACCUCUGCCUUGCAGGUUCAAGCGAUUCUCCUGCCUCAGCCAGCUAAGCAGCUGGGGUUACAGGCGCCCACCACCACGCCCGGCUAAUGUUUUUGUAUAUUUAGUAGAAACGGGGUUUCAGCAUGUGGGCCAGACUGGUCUUAAACUCCUAACCUCAGGUGAUCCACCUGCCUUGGCCUCCCAAAGUUCUGGGAUUACAGGCGUGAUCCACCGCGCCCAUCCCAACCCUGUGGUUUUAUAAUUCCAUGGUAAUGUUAGGGUGACUAUCUUAUGCCUACUUUAAGAUAAAACUCAGAAGAUGGUGGAGACAUAAACUGAAGAUUACUCCAGCUGGUCCUGAAAGCUUACAAUUUGGCUUUCUUUCACAAGGGAUAAAAAUACUCCUUUAGUACCACGGUGUUUUUACAGCUCUGAGAUUAUAAUUUUUGAAGUGUAAGUCAGUGAAGUGUAAGUCAGAUCUAAUGACCCCACCUUGUAUAAUGCUCUAGUGCCUUCUCCUUGCCGAUAGAAUAAAUCCAAACACCUCAUUGUGGUGUCAGCU
ensembl:lncRNA